AUAAUCACCAUACAUUUAUUUUUUGUGCUUUUCUUGAAUAGCUCUAAGGGGCCAAGUACAGGAUACCUCAUUUUAUUGAGCUUCACAGACGUUGCGUUUUGUUACAAAUUGAUAUUUGGCAACCCUGCAUCGAGCAAGUCGGUCAGCACUAUUUUUCCAGCUGCAUUUGCUCACUUCACGUGUCCGUGUCGUAUUUUGAUCAUUCUAGCAAUGUUUCAAACCGUCCACCAGCAAAAGGAUUACUACAUGCUGAAGGCUCAGGAACCCCAAUUCUACCAAGCUUUCCAUCUGGAGUGGAGAUCUUUGGAAGAAGCAAGGUGAUGGGUCCUGUGCACUCUCAUCUGAGCUUCGUGGGAUGGAGGAAUCAUCGGAGGAGCCCAGAGAAGACUUGGGCUGAUGCUUCACAAAGUGAGAAUGGUGAUUGAGUUUACGAGCCCGCUGAAGAUCUGGAAACCGUGAAUUAUGAGGUCAUUUUGGAGAAGCUGGGGAUGAUUUAUGCCGAGGAGAGAAGGCUCAGCUUUUGCAUGCAUCGCAAACACCAUCUGUUAUAACCCGAGACACACACGCUGCAUGGAAUUAGGAAUAGAAGCCAGUGUUGCAGCUGGACAUGGCAGAGGAAAUUGAUAGAACCACCACUUCCUCUGCAGGACUGACAUGGUGAAUGGGGCAUCUGGGGUUUGUCUGAGCUUUUGCAUUCAUCAAUUAAAGAUCUCUUUUGGCUGCUGCAGAGACAUUGCCUAUUUGAUUCCAAAACUUGCCUUGAAGAAAACAAGUAGCUGCUUCUUAGUGCAGGAGGAAGUCUAACCUGGGGGCUAUUUCAAGAGGCCUGAGAAUUCCUUGGUCAAGAAGACUAGGUCUAGAUGCAGGAGGCAUGGCUCUCUGUCUCCACCAUCAAAUUUCUCCAGAGGGGCCCCGUGGGGCCACUGAGCUGGCAGACUCGUCCUCUCCCCAGCUGGUCAUAAGAAGCUCUUGGCCUCUCUAUUGCAAUCUCACCUUUUGUGCACAUGAUCAUUGCAGCAUCCCAAGAAGCAGGGAAGACUCUACUGUCUACUGCUAUUCAGGAGAAAACAGAGGCUCAGGGAUGAGGUGAGCCUGAAUUCUAAAUUGGGCAAGAUGGUUCUUCGGGACCUGAGUCCACCAUCUUCUCAGUCUGCCGGCUUUCUGAAUAAAGUCGCUAUUCCUUGCCCCAGCAACUCGUCUCUCGAUUUAUUGGCCUGUCGUGUGGCAAGCAGUAGGAGCUUGGACUUGGUAACGGCGUCUGUGUGGACUUCGUCUGCUUUACAGCAUGCUCCUCAGGAUGCUCUCCAUAAGCCAACACUGAAGAGGCUGGUGCAGCAGAGCAAGAAUAAAGGGAAGAUGUGCAGGACAGCAGUAAAGAGCCUAAAACCUGGGCUCCAGUCGCUGCUGUGCCCCUUAUGAUAGAGGGGAGGGAGUAAAGUCAAACAUUGCCUCGUUCUGGUCAGCCUCGAGAGGAUAUAUGUGUUAAUUUCUUCCUUCCUGCAGUCAUUCACAGGUGGGCCUGCUCAGGAAGUUUCCUGUGAACUAAAAAAAGGUAUUUUAUUUUAUUUAUUUAUUUUUAACAUCUUUAUUGGACCAUAAUUGCUUUACAUUGUUGUGUUAGUUUCUGCUUUAUAACAAAGUGAAUCAGCUGUACAUAUACAUAUAUCCCCAAAUCUCUUCCCUCUUGCAUCUCCCUCCCACCCUCCCUAUCCCACCCCUCUAGGUGGUCACAAAGCACCAAGCUGAUCUCCCUGUGCUAUGCGGCUCCUUCCCACUAGCUAGCUAUUUUACGUUUGGUAGUGUAUAUAUGUCCAUGCCACUCUCUCACUUUGCCCCGGCUUACCCCUCCCCCUCCCCAUGACCUCAAGUCCAUUCUCUACGUCUGCGUCUUUAUUCCCGUCCUGACCCUAGGUUCUUCAGAACCACUUUUUUUUUUAGAUUCCAUAUAUAUGUGUUAACAUACGGUAUUUAUUUUUCUCUUUCUGACUUACUUCACUAUGUAUGACAGUCUCUAAGUCCAUCCACCUCACUACAAAUAACUCAAAUUCGUUUCUUUUUAUGGCUGAGUAAUAUUCCAUUGUAUAUAUAUGCCACAUCUUCCUUACCCAUUCAUCUGUCGAUGGACACUUAGGUUGCUUCCAUAUCCUGGCUAUUGUAAAUAGAGCUGCAAUGAACACUGUCGUACAUGACUUGUUUUGAAUUAUGGUUUUCUCAGGGUAUAUGCCCGGUUGUGGGAUUGCUGGGUCAUAUGGUAGUUCUACUUUUAGUUUUUUAAGGAACCUCCAUACUGUUCUCCAUAGUGGCUGUAUCAAUUAACAUUCCCACCAACAGUGCAAGAGGCUUCCCUCUUCUCCACACCCUCUCCAGCAUUUAUUGUUUGUAGAUUUUUUGAUGUUGGCCAUUCUGACUGCUGUGAGGUGAUACCUCACUGUAGUUUUGAUUUGGAUUUCACUAAUUAUUAGUGAUGUUGAGCAUCCAUUCAUGUGUUUGUUGGCAAUCUGUGUAUCUUCCUUGGAGAAAUGUCUAUUUAGGUCUUCGGCCCAUUUUUGGAUUGGGUUGUUUGUUUUUGUGAUAUUGAGCUGCAUGAGCUGCUUGUAAAUGUUGGAGAUUAAUCCUUUGUCAGUUGCUUCAUUUGCAAAUAUUUUCUCCCAUUCUGAGGGUUGUCUUUUCGUCUUGCUUAUGGUUUUCUUUGCUGUGCAAAGGCUUUUAAGUUUCUUUAGGUCCCAUUUGUUUUUGUUU